CAAAGUAUAGGAAGUUUCGUGGACAGUCACAACAUAAGCAAAUUGCUCAUCUUUAUGUAUAGUGCCAGGAAAUUGCUAAGAUUUGAACAGCCAUCUAACUUGAUGGCUAAGAUUUUUUUGAAUAGCAUCUGUGUAGAAUAUAUACACACUCUUGUUGCUCUCCAGAUAAAUCUCUAGCUCCCAGUAACUUGUCUCAUUAUUAAGCUAGGUUCCUAUGGCUUCUUCUUUUUCUUCAUCAUCAUCGCCGCGUGGAUCUGAAUAUGAUGUGUUCUUAAGUUUUAGAGGGGAAGACACUCACAAAACCUUUGUGGAUCAUCUCUACAUAGCUCUGGUUGAUAGAGGAAUUAGGACCUUCAAAGAUGACGAAAGGCUUGAGAGAGGAAAAUCUAUUUCUUCAGAUCUUGUGAAGAAUGUUAAUGAAUCGAGAAUUGCUGUGAUCGUUUUCUCCAAAAACUAUGCGACUUUGUCAUGGUGCUUGGACGAACUAGUGGAGAUCCUUAAGUGCAAGAGGACCAAGGGACAGAUAGUUUUGCCCAUCUUCUACGACGUGAAAACAUCGGAAGUUCGGUACCAGAAGAAGAGUUUUGCGGAAGCAUUUAGAAAGCAUAAAGAAAUUCAUAAGGUGGAGAACGAAACGAUGCAAAAAUGGAGGGACACUUUGAAGGAAGCAGCAAGUCUAAGCGGCUUAGAUCUACAAGAUGCAGCUAAUGGGUACGAAGCUAAGUUUAUCAAAAUUAUUAUUCAAGAUAUUUCAGAAAAAUUGUAGCCUAAACCAUUCAGAGUUGCUAAGUACAAAGUUGGUAUCGAUGCACGCGUGGACAAAAUCAUUACAUUGCUAGACCAAGAUCAAUUCUUUGUUGGAAUUUGUGGAAUUGGAGGAGCAGGUAAGACCACCGCUGCCAAAGCGGUUUUCAACCAUAAAUCAAAAGAUUUUGAAAGAAGUUGUUUUCUUGAAAAAGUGAGACAAGAGUUAGCAAAAGAUGGUGAUCUAGCUAAACUACAAACCAAGCUUCUCAGGGAGACCCUAAGGGAUCAAACUAUAACAAUAUCAGAUCCUGAUAGGGGAAUCAAUGAUAUAAAGGAUAGACUUGGUAAUAAAAGGCUUCUUCUAGUGCUUGAUGAGUAGACGACCAAAAUAUAUUGGAGAACUUAGUUGAAUAGGAAUGGUUUGGUCGUGGUAGUAGGGUCAUCCUAACAACUAGAGAUAAACGAUUGUUGGAAAUGUACAAUGUUACAACAUACGAUCUUGAGUUAUUAAAUGAGAGUGAAGCACUACAACUUUUUAGUUAUCAUGCAUUCAAACGGGAAAAUUUUGAAGAUAAUCAUGAGGAACUUUCACACCGUGCAAAAGAUUAUGCCAAGGGCCUUCCACUUGCUCUCCAAGUUUUGGGUUCUCUUUUACACAAAAGAGGAAAACAAUACUGGUCACGUAUAUUGGAUAACUUGAAGACCAGCCCUCCCAAAGAAUAAGAGGAAAAUGUUUAUCGUGUUUUAAAGAUUAGUUAUGAUUGCCUUAAUGAGGAAGAGAUGGAUAUUUUUCUUGAUAUCGCGUGUUUCUUCAAUGGAUGCCAUAAGAAAUAUGUCAUAAAUGUUUCUAAGUUGCCUGAAUUUGACGUGGUCAAUGGAAUAAAAAUUCUUAGUGAGAGGUCCCUCAUUAAUAUAUCAAAAGGCAAUGUGGUGUUAAUGCAUGACUUGAUAUAAGAAAUGGGCUGAGGAAUUGUUCGUUAAGAAUCUAAAGAACCUGGAGAACACAGUAGGCUAUGGUCUUGUGAUGACAUCUGUCAUGUAUUCGCUGAAAAUAUGGUGAUAGAAAAAAUCGAAGCUAUUAUGCUACCCAAGAAUGGAUUAUCUUUAGAGGGAGGGUUGCAUGUAAGAGCUGAUGCGUUCACAAAGAUGAGGAAGCUACGAAUACUCAAAAUCAAUGGUGUGCGGCUUGAUGGGUUCCUUACAGAUCUUUCAAAUGAGUUAAGGUAUAUUAAGUCGGACGGCUAUCCCCAAGAAUAUUUUACAUACAAUUUUCAUCCAAAAAGACAUGAGGUACUCCAUUUACCUAAUAGCCUGAUCAAAGGGAUUUGCAUGAAUUCAAAAGUAAGAUAAUUAAUUUGCUCCCGCCGUUUCCCUUUCUAUUAAAAUUUUCUCUUUCGAAUAAAAUAAUCUUCUCCACCUAAUUGAAGCUGACUUAUUUUUUUUUAUAUUAUAUUUUUUAACAAAUUCUAAAGAUGUUAAAAGUACUUAAUCUCAGUAACUGCCCAAAUUUGGUAAAUCCAAAUUUUCUAGAGUUCCCCUUUCUGAAGAAUUUGAAUCUUAAGGGUAGUGACAAUUUGGUUGAGGUUGAAUUUGAGGUAAUGUUAUUAUUUAAGGUGCAUUAUUUUAUCAAGUUGCUUGAAGAAGAUUUAUAUCACAAGUUUUUUUUUUUUUCGAACAAUAUUUAUAUCACAAGUUUGUUUGCAAAUAAAUGUUACAAUGAAAAAAUUGUCAAGAACAUCUCCAGAUUCAUGGGGCAUAGUUAAAAGAAUGUCCAUGUAAAUAAUAAUUAUGAUAACUAUUAUCAUAAUUAUAAUUAAAUACAUGAGCCUUAGGUUCAUCACAGAACAUUUUAAAAAAUCUAUGAUUUUUCAUAAGAAAAAAUAAAAACCAGAUUUAAAUUAGAUACUAUGUCAAUUCAUUAAGUAAGACGGUUCUUUGUAUGAGUUGAUUCAGUUUCAUUGAUCAACAGUUCACUUCUAGUUCCAAACGUAGUCAGCAUUUAGAUGUCAAAAAAUAAAAAAAUAAAAAAAAAUUCUAUUGAACCCUAAUGCGUGCAUAUAUAUAUAUAUAUAUAUAUAUAUAUAUAUAUAUAUACUUAUUUAUUUUGAUUUGAUAACUUUUGUUGUCGUAGGCUUACAUUAAAUAUGUUAA